UGUAUACAGUUUACGUGCUGGCUGGCUUU
rnacentral:sRNA from 1 species